rnacentral:lncRNA from 1 species
CCUAAUGUCGAUAUUGAAAGGAAAGAAAAUCGGGGAAGAAGAGAGGAAGAGAGAGAGAGAGAGUGGGCGUCACGCGCAGAAGAGAGAUGCUGCAGGCGUCGGUGGCGAGCUCCGGGGGCGCGGAGCGCUGGCCGACGGAGCGGCGUGCGCUGGCGAGUGGAGUCAAAAAUUUUGAAAUUCUUGGUUUAAUUGUGUCUAUUGGGUUAUAU